rnacentral:tRNA from 8 species
GCGGGUGUAGUUCAGUGGUAGAACGUCAGCUUCCCAAGCUGAAUGUCGUCGGUUCGAUCCCGAUCACCCGCUCCA